rnacentral:rRNA from 1 species
GACGAACGCUGGCGGCGUGCCUAAUACAUGCAAGUAGAACGCUGAAGCGAGGAGCUUGCUCUUCUUGGAUGAGUUGCGAACGGGUGAGUAACGCGUAGGUAACCUGCCUUGUAGCGGGGGAUAACUAUUGGAAACGAUAGCUAAUACCGCAUAACAAUGGAUGACACAUGUCAUUUAUUUGAAAGGGGCAAUUGCUCCACUACAAGAUGGACCUGCGUUGUAUUAGCUAGUAGGUGAGGUAAUGGCUCACCUAGGCGACGAUACAUAGCCGACCUGAGAGGGUGAUCGGCCACACUGGGACUGAGACACGGCCCAGAUUCCUACGGGAGGCAGCAGUAGGGAAUCUUCGGCAAUGGGGGCAACCCUGACCGAGCAACGCCGCGUGAGUGAAGAAGGUUUUCGGAUCGUAAAGCUCUGUUGUAAGUCAAGAACGGGUGUGAGAGUGGAAAGUUCACACUGUGACGGUAGCUUACCAGAAAGGGACGGCUAACUACGUG